UGCCCCUCCCUCGCUCACGCUCUCUCUUUCUCUCUCAAAAAUAAACAUUUAAAAAAAUUUAAAAAUGACUACGUUAGAGAAGGAGAAAGUUCCAACAAACGAGCAGAUGGCCACAUGCUGGCCCCUCUUCCCAGCCCUCUCUGGAGUCCAUUUAGCAAACCUCGUGCUCUUUAACUAUCAUGUCGAAGUAAUAACAAUUUGAUGAGCAAUAACAAUAGCCAGCAGUAACUGUUUACUAUUUGUCUUGCUCUGUACUUUGCAUUGAACCCUUCUAGCAACGCUAUGAGGUAAGAUCUGUUGUUUAUUCCCAUUUUCCUGAUUAGGAAACUGAGCAUAAGUAAUUUGUCCCAACGUCCAGAGUAGGAAGUUACCGGCCUCCCUCCCUUAAAUGCAGCAACAUUCUGCUUCCCAGUACUGUGACAAAUUCAAACCAAAUGCAUAAUUCUAGCAUAUAGUAGGCACUCAAUAAAAGCAUAUUGACUACUGACGAUGGCACCAUUCUUAUGUAUGAAGUAGUCUGGAGCAUGUGAAAAGUUCAAGAAUUGAUCAUCAGACAGCAGAAUUUGCCUCAUUUAGUAGUUGAAGCAGCCCAUGGUGACUGUAUCAAAUCUGAAGCAGCUAAUCCACAAUGAAGGAGAAACUUUAACACAGGAAUAUUUCUAUCCUUGAACUUCCAGUCUGGCUGAAAAUAGUCAAGGCAGCAGAGAGCCGAGAGAGGACACCAGGCCAAAGGGACGAGCCUCUAACAACCUUUUCUCAUCCUCUCUACCUCUUCAAAAGAAAUGCCCAAGGCAACUGACCAGCCAGGAAAGCCUUAGAAAAGUCUUUAAAGUGGCUGCUCUGUCUCAAAUAGUUAAGUAGUUUUAAUUAGUUGUGUGUGUGUGGGGGGGGGGGGGGGGGGGGGGGGGAGGGUGGUAAAUGGAUCUUUAUUUUUUUCAGUUUAAAGGAUUAUUAUUAACUGUUCAGCCCUUUUACAAUCAAUAAACAAACUUCAUUAUAAAACUUGUAUAAUUUUGUAGCUUUUAUUGGUCUUUCCGACUCUAAGUAAGAGGUCUUAUUUCUUGGGCACCUACGUGGUACCUUGUACAGGGCUCCAAAAAGUCUUCUGUUUUGUUGUUUGAACAGAUGCUUUGAAAGAAAAAGAAAAAAAAAACCUUUUUGUAUGUCAGGGAUUGGAAGCUAGCAGGGCUGGGGGAAUAGGAGAUAAGUUAAGACUAACAUCCGUUUUAGGGCUUUGCGGUUUCGCCAGAGGAGGGGUAAGAUUGAGCCCUUUUAUAGUCGAGUACAUCCUGCACCAUUGGCUGUCUCGUAGCCCAAAAAAGGUGAACUGAAGUUCAGUUUCCAAGGGGUGUUUCAUUGUAUCGGCUACUCUGAAAUGUUUCCAUGCCUAGUACUCAGGACAGGGAGCAAUGGACUUUGCAUUGUCUUGCUCGCCAGCUGCCCACCAAGUGGAUCGAGUUGGUGUAAUAUAACCUGUCCCAUCCAGGCAGAUAUGUGAUUCACUCCUAAUUCCCAGUUCAAACCCUUGUGGUCCGCCCUUCGUUCAUCUUCCUCCACUUUCCUCCUCUUCCUCAGACUCUCCCAAGGAGCUCCGUCCUAUGAGGCAUCAUGUGUGGAAUUCUUUACCACUCUACGGAGUUAUUAAUAUCAGCCGUGUUCUCUGCUUUCCGUGAACCUGCAAAAGCAAGAGGAAAAUGGAGACAGAAAGACUGGAUACGUUGUUCAAGAUCCCCUGGUUUGGAAGUAUGAGUGUUGCCUCAAACCCAAGUCUUCCGGCCCCACACUCCUUGGUCUUACCUCUCUACCACGCACCUACUCAGAACGACAACUCAAAACAGAGGUAUGCCUGGAAAUAAGCAAUGUGUCAGUCCUGUUUCACAGAAGCCACCAAAUAACAGCAGGCUUUUACAACUCCAGAAAGGCUGGGAAUCAGACUCCUGCUGCACAUGUGUCCUUCUGUUCGCUAUUUCUAUUUCCAAGUCUUGCGCUUCUUCCAAAGUGUGUAAAGUCACUGGAAGUGCGUUGAAGAGAUGCAAACCAGGAAGUGUUUACGUGAUAAAACGGGCUCAGAGACAACUCUCUGGCAAGGGGAAACCAAGGGCGAGAAAACUGACCACCAGAGGAAGAUCGACUCCAACAACCGUCACGUAGUGGUUCCAGAAAUCGGCGGCCUGAUUCUGCUUCUCCGUGCUUUUGAUCUGCUUGUGCCACGUGAGACGUUGUGCGCCACGCCAUGAGAGACAGGGCAAAGAAGGCAUGGGAAGGUUCCGCUGACUUCUUUCUAAAUUGCAUUCUGGAAGACGUCACCUUUGUCAGCUCUUCUGCAAUAUAUUUAGAAAGUGGGUUCGAAUAUGUCCCGGUGUUCUCCCCGAAGGCACACACCCCUGCUCUGUGAAGUCCAGAACUGAGAAGGUUCCAGAAAGUGCGGUCCAAAGCAGGCAACCAGUCAGGCUGAGGAAACCACGAAAGCCCUCUCCUUAGACAGGAGGGUAACCAGAGCUGUGCUCGGACUCCACAGUUUAUUUUUCCCAUGCGGACAAGGGACGAAAGCCACUUUGCAGAACAAUGCUUCCGAGGCAUUUUAUUUGCAACACGAUCCUUUGCAAGAGGUGAGCUAAGAAGCAGGGUCAGCUCACACAGGGACUUCUCUCCCCUUGGCCGGCCCACCUAGCGGCAUCAGGCCGCAUCUCCAGGAGGGAGCGGGAGAAGCCCCCCAGUCCUUCAUGGGCACAGUAGGUUCCGCCUUAUUCUGGUACAAAGAUGCGUGUUUGCCGCAGGUAACCUCACACCACCCGGCACACCGCCGCUGAGUUGCACGGCGACGUAUGAACCCAAGUGACGCCUUAAUGUAUCAUGUUAAAUCACAUCCCACAGCUUCUUGGAUCCGAGAGAAAGUGACUGGGCCAGAGGGAGCUGCCACAUCUCUUUCUUCCAUUCUCUUUUACCUUCUAAUUAAUUUUUCUAAUGGGUCCUUGAUGUAAUAAACCAUUUAUCAUGUGCACCUUCUUCUGAGGCUUUUCUCCUUCCAAGUUAUUAACAUGUCCAGGGCUUUCCUAGGGAAAGUGUCUAGGCCUUGGCUGCCUGCUGUCCCCAGGAGAAUGCCAGGUGCGCGUCAUGGCUAUCCGUACCGUGUGCACAGAUAGCGCUCCGUGCCAGGCCACCGUGGAUUCAGUGAUUGUACUUUUUAUCCGGCAAUGGCCCUGAAUGGAGACAGAGCCAGGAAACAGAGCUUCAUCUCGUGAGGCUCCGUGGAGAGAGCCAGCUCUAGAAGUCGCUGGCCCAGCUGACGCACAGCUGAGAGCCUUAACAGGAGCACCAGGGCCUGAAUGGGGAGGGGACGAGUCUAUUAAGGGGGGCAGCUGGCAGAGAAGACGGAAUCACAGAGGGGUGUCCCCCUGAGAGCCAAUGAGGGCCUGGAAAUGAUCCUGUGACUUCAACUCACUCUGAUCUGAUCUUCUUCCAUAAAAACUGCUUGGAAAAAGCCCAACUGUCAUACAACGCGCUCCUUUUCACACCUAACCCUGCUAGUGUCUACACCUAUUGAGCAUUUACUGCAAGCGAACGACUAUAUAUACGCCAUCGCAUUCGAUCCUCACCAGUGCAAAGGGGUGGGAAAGAUCAGCCUCUGUGACAGAGAAGAGAGAGAUUUGCCUAGGCCACAAAGCGAAGGUAGGAAACUUGAGACUUGAGCCUGGGUCUCCCUGUCCCCAAGCUAACUCAUCCUCAUGCUAGACACACGCCCGCAGUUACGCCCUUGGGGCUCUGGCCUUUGUGAUAACAUUCUAAGCGGAGUCUCAGGCAAAGAACACAUCCAGCCCCCACUGUAUUUGCUGCCUAACCUCAAAAGGUGCCGGCCAUUAAAGCUAGAUUGAACCCGAGUUCUUGCUGAGACCGUCUUGAUAUUUUGGCAGAUUCACACCCUUGAUGAGAUUUGCUGUCUACGAUGAAAGUUGAUUCAAGGUCUUGGGACCAUUUUUCACACAAGACCCCCGUUUAUUAGUGGGGAGUGUGUUGUAGGGACACCUGGCCAGCACUUAAUUUGACCUGGUAACAUAGAAGCGAGGAGCCCCUUAAUCUGUCCCCCUGAGCCAGCCCUGCCCCCUGCUGACGUGUGCCUCAUAAAUUCAGCCAUUGUGUCUGUGAGCGCCUUGGCUGGAGCUGGGUUUAUGAGACAUCAAGGUGCUGUGCUGUGCACCUGUGUAGCUGAGAGCAGAAUGUUCGCUUCGGGGGUGGAAAAAAACCAAACGAACCCAGACCCUGGAAGGAAUUCAAGCACGAUCCCCUUUUGUUAGCGGUAAAAGAGGAGCACGCGGCCUGGAGUAACUUUGCGAAAGGCAAUUGAAAGAAACUCACGAGUCCCUACUUCACAUCCAUAUCCUUUAAUCCUUUGGAUAAAAUUUCACAUGCCCAGCGAGGUAACAGGCAUUCUUUUGCUCCCCCCACCAGCCAUGAUUUUAACGGGACCCUUCGGUUUCCUCCCUUCCCGCUGCCUUUGACCUGGCCACAACUAGGAUAGGAGCUACACUGCGGGAUUGCCUCAAAAUAGAGCACUUGGCAGAAAUGCUCUUUUGAAUGUUGCUGUUCUCCUGUAUAAAUCAGAAAUCCCCAGGUCUAAGCGCGUAACCCUUUCCGCGCCAUGAUUGUGUGUCGGCUUCCAAAGAGCAGCACAUGUCGCCCCGGCAGGCAACAGAGCAAGGAUCCCUUGGCUGUUUUAUGUUAGCGAUCUGUGGCUCAAAUAGGAGCCACGCCAGUCAGGAGGCCGUGUGGUCCAGCAGACAAAGCACUUACAACGAAGGGAGAGAGUCUUGAGAGGCAGUCAGCCUGCUUCUUCACCUUAGGUCAAUCAAUUACUUUCCUGUGUUUCAAUUCUUUUUUCCACCGGUAUCGCGGGAACAACAUCUAUUCUCCCAAUUCCUAGGAUGCUGCGAGAAUUAAAUUACAUAGUAACAGCAAAAUAAUUUGGCUUCAUUGGAAUUGGGCAUCGCCUGAACCUGAAUGGAAUGAAUGUGCAAUUCUUAAUGGCUUCCAUCUUCUGGCCAAGCUGCCUUGGGACCAGAACAAUAGGCCAGGUCUGGAUGCACAGGGAGGGGGCCGCGGGACCAAAGAGAGGCCGUAAGCAGAACGUGUUGCAUCUGAUUGCACAGAAAUGCCGCAGUGUCAUUGACACCAACAGCCCGAGUUCCCCACUCAGCAAAGACAUCGCGGAUUCCAGUGGGUGUUGACAGGGAAGAGGGAACAUAGCUCCGAGUAGCAGAAACUUUAUUAUAAUUAUUAUCGUGAUGGGUUUGGAUUAGAUUGCCAUCUCUGGCCCUCCAAAUUGUUCAUCCACUCGAGACUUUGAAUCUGGAAAGUCUGGCACAGACAAACAUGCACCUGAGUACGAGAGAGUGCCUCUGUCUGCUGUCUGUUUCUCUCUCUCUCUCUCUCUCUCUCUCUCUCUCUCUCACGCACACACACACACACAUGCAUGUGCACACAAUGUCUGUAAGAAAGAGCACUAAUAAGCCCCACUAGUGUUCCCGCCACUCUUGGAACCCCUCAGACGUGACCCUGUGUCUGUUUGUGUGCACAAUCAUGGCGACCGUUUCAUUCCAUUUCAUUCAUUUCCACCUUGCUCUCUUCCUCUGCCUGGAGUGUUCUUCCCCCAGAUUUUUCCAUGGCUGGCUGGCUCUUCCUGUUGUUCAGAUCUCACUAAAAUCUCACCUCUGUGGAGAGACUUUACCUGGCCACUCCCACCUCAAAUAGCCUCAUCUUGUUUCUUUGCACAGGACUUUACUCAUCAAACCAUUUAUUCCCUGUGAUAUUUUUGUUGGCUCAUUUUCUGACUUCUUCCUGUGGCAGAGACAAGCAGGUACCUCCUGCCAUUCAUUCUUUCUUUGUUCUUUAGCAGAACCCCAAAUUUUAGCCAGGUAUGUGGUCAGUCAGAACAAGACCACAUAUCCCAGUAUCCCUGGCAGUGAGGCGUAGCUAUGUGUCUCAGUUCUGGUCAAUGAAAUAUAAAUAGAGGUAUCUUUAGAAGGAGGAGAAGCACUCUUUUUAUUCUCUUUCCUGCUUCUUGUUGGCUGGGAUGUGAAUGCGAUUGCUAGGACUUAGGCAGCCACGUUGGACUCUGAGGUGAAAGCCUCAUACUUAGGACACCAGAGCACCAAGAUACUAGGCUCCUGCGUCUUUGAUGGCAUUAUGGUGUGGCCCUACCAGCCCUGGGUCAUGUCCCUCUGGACUUUUAUGUGACCGAGAAAUUAGGCUGUAAUUUGCUAAAGCUAUCGUUAUGUCAGGUCUUCUGUCAUUUGCAGCUAAAUUGACUCCUAACUUCUAAUGUCAAUUUCUACCCCCACCUUCAAACCUCCCUCCCAAGAGAAUAUGAACUGUAUAAAAAUAAGAAUCGUACUUGCCUUGUUCAGUGCCCUAUGCCCAGCACUGGAAUGACACCCACACAUAGUAGUCAUUUGGUAAAUGCUUAUUCAAGGAAUAGCUUGCUCGUGUCUCUAAUUUCUUCCCUCUACUGGCUCCUUUCUCUCUCUGCAUUGCACUGUUUUAGUUUUCUUUUAACCUCCC